rnacentral:rRNA from 1 species
AUUGAACGCUGGCGGCAUGCCUUACACAUGCAAGUCGAACGGUAACGCGGGGCAACCUGGCGACGAGUGGCGAACGGGUGAGUAAUGUAUCGGAACGUGCCCAGUUGUGGGGGAUAACUGCUCGAAAGAGCAGCUAAUACCGCAUACGACCUGAGGGUGAAAGCGGGGGAUCGCAAGACCUCGCGCAAUUGGAGCGGCCGAUAUCAGAUUAGGUAGUUGGUGGGGUAAAGGCUCACCAAGCCAACGAUCUGUAGCUGGUCUGAGAGGACGACCAGCCACACUGGGACUGAGCAACGGCCCAGACUCCUACGGGAGGCAGCAGUGGGGAAUUUUGGACAAUGGACGCAAGUCUGAUCCAGCCAUGCCGCGUGCGGGAAGAAGGCCUUCGGGUUGUAAACCGCUUUUGUCAGGGAAGAAACGCUCUGGGUUAAUACCUCGGGGUAAUGACGGUACCUGAAGAAUAAGCACCGGCUAACUACGUGCCAGCAGCCGCAGUAACAC